AUUGAACGCUGGCGGAAUGCUUUACACAUGCAAGUCGAACGGCAGCACGGACUUCGGUCUGGUGGCGAGUGGCGAACGGGUGAGUAAUACAUCGGAACGUGCCCAGUCGUGGGGGAUAACGUAGCGAAAGCUACGCUAAUACCGCAUACGAUCUAAGGAUGAAAGCGGGGGAUCGCAAGACCUCGCGCGAUUGGAGCGGCCGAUGGCAGAUUAGGUAGUUGGUAGGGUAAAGGCCUACCAAGCCGACGAUCUGUAGCUGGUCGGAGAGGAUGAGCAGCCACACUGGGACUGAGACACGGCCCAGACUCCUACGGGAGGCAGCAGUGGGGAAUUUUGGACAAUGGGCGCAAGCCUGAUCCAGCCAUUCCGCGUGCAGGAUGAAAGCCUUCGGGUUGUAAACUGCUUUUGUACAGAACGAAAAGGCUCUGGUUAAUACCCGGGGCUCAUGACGGUACUGUAAGAAUAAGCACCGGCUAACUACGUGCCAGCCGCCGCCGUAA
rnacentral:rRNA from 1 species